GACCAUGUUUAUGCCGUGCUAUCAGCAAACGUUGUCAACUUUACCAUCGUCGAUAAAAACCAAUACGUCGAAAUUACAUUGUUAGUAGAAGGCGUAGGUCUCACGAAAGAUGUAAUGGUGCGUACGACUUCAGCUUUUAAGGGGCGUGGAUCAUUAUGCUUCACAGAUCAACAAUAUAAGUAUGCCGACUCCGAGAGAAACUCGUUUGAAAUAUUGCAAGCAAAUGGUACACGAAUGUAUUUAACCAACAAGUUGAAGAUCGAUGAAAAUGUCGUGGAAGGAAAGUUGUUCCUGUGCCUUAACAGACCACGGUUAUCGACCAGAAAUUCGUCACAUGGUCGUUGGGUACAUCAGGGUGAUUUUGGUUGGAUCGUCUGGCCUGUACCACCGAUGUAUCUGUUUCGUAGAUAUGCAUACGAAGUCACCGAACCUGCAAGUGAAUCUAACUCAUUUGAGACAACAACAAGCGACUAUGGAAAAAAAUACAAACAUCGCGGUAACAAGUUACAUUUUUUAAAUGACACGGCUUGGUCCUAUACAAAAACGAACCGGACGAACACUUUAGUCACCGGUAAUGGCCUCAGGUGCAAAUUCCUCGUCAAAGCCGUUAAAAAGCCAAACUUAUUGGACGACUACAGCAAGACGGAACCCUCAAACCUUCAGCGUGAAACAGUUUAUUUAUGUGAGCACUAGUCGGCCGUAGCGGAUAAAUACAGAAAAAGCGAUAAUAGAUUGCUAUCGCUUUGGUUGGACAUUGGUACCGCCACGGGUGGAUCUCGGCUUCAACACGAAUAUACUCACGACGACUAUGUUUAUGCCGUGCUAUCAGCAAACGUUGUCAACUUUACCAUCGUCGAUAAAAACCAAUACGUCGAAAUUACAUUGUUAGUAGAAGGCGUAGGUCUCACGAAAGAUGUAAUGGUGCGUACGACUUCAGCUUUUAAGGGGCGUGGAUCAUUAUGCUUCACAGAUCAACAAUAUAAGUAUGCCGACUCCGAGAGAAACUCGUUUGAAAUAUUGCAAGCAAAUGGUACACGAAUGUAUUUAACCAACAAGUUGAAGAUCGAUGAAAAUGUCGUGGAAGGAAAGUUGUUCCUGUGCCUUAACAGACCACGGUUAUCGACCAGAAAUUCGUCACAUGGUCGUUGGGUACAUCAGGGUGAUUUUGGUUGGAUCGUCUGGCCUGUACCACCGAUGUAUCUGUUUCGUAGAUAUGCAUACGAAGUCACCGAACCUGCAAGUGAAUCUAACUCAUUUGAGACAACAACAAGCGACUAUGGAAAAAAAUACAAACAUCGCGGUAACAAGUUACAUUUUUUAAAUGACACGGCUUGGUCCUAUACAAAAACGAACCGGACGAACACUUUAGUCACCGGUAAUGGCCUCAGGUGCAAAUUCCUCGUCAAAGCCGUUAAAAAGCCAAACUUAUUGGACGACUACAGCAAGACGGAACCCUCAAACCUUCAGCGUGAAACAGUUUAUUUAUGUGAGCACUAGUCGGCCGUAGCGGAUAAAUACAGAAAAAGCGAUAAUAGAUUGCUAUCGCUUUGGUUGGACAUUGGUACCGCCACGGGUGGAUCUCGGCUUCAACACGAAUAUACUCACGACGACUAUGUUUAUGCCGUGCUAUCAGCAAACGUUGUCAACUUUACCAUCGUCGAUAAAAACCAAUACGUCGAAAUUACAUUGUUAGUAGAAGGCGUAGGUCUCACGAAAGAUGUAAUGGUGCGUACGACUUCAGCUUUUAAGGCGCGUGGAUCAUUAUGCUUCACAGAUCAACAAUAUAAGUAUGCCGACUCCGAGAGAAACUCGUUUGAAAUAUUGCAAGCAAAUGGUACACGAAUGUAUUUAACCAACAAGUUGAAGAUCGAUGAAAAUGUCGUGAAAGGAAAGUUGUUCCUGUGCCUUAACAGACCACGGUUAUCGACCAGAAAUUCGUCACAUGGUCGUUGGGUACAUCAGGGUGAUUUUGGUUGGAUCGUCUGGCCUGUACCACCGAUGUAUCUGUUUCGUAGAUAUGCAUA